GGCGGGGACACGGGGUCACGCUGCUGGAGGCUGUUCCCGUCCCGCCGGAGGUUGGAUUGGUGUCCCUGCCGCCGGAUUUUGGCUCGGGUGGCCCCAGCCCAGGUGACCCAGUUCUGGGCAAUCUUGUCCUGAAGAUUUCCACUCUCCCAGUGUCCCUUUUCCCAGUGUCCCUUUUCCCAGUGUCGCUGUCCCAGCUUUCCUAUCCCAGAUUUCCCAGUUCCAGGUGUCCCAUCCCAGCUUUCCCAGUCCCAGGUUUCCCAGCCAAAAGUGUCCCUGUUCCAUAGAUUCGAGUCCCAGGUAUCCCUACUUCCAGUAUCCCUAUCCAAGGUGACCCAGGUGUCCUGUCCCAGGUGUCCCACUCCUCCGUUUCCCACUCUGCCAUAUCCCAGUCCCAGCCUCCACCUGACUCCAGGAAAUCUCUGGACUGUGCCCAAGGAGCAAGGGACACCCUGGGGCUGCCCCAGCGCCGUCCCCACCCAAAAUCCCCCCAGUGCCAGGUCCCGGGGGAGCCCCCGCCUGGGGACAGGGACCCAGGGCGGUGUUAGAUGGGUGUGGGGUGGGCACGGGGGGAUUCUGAGGGUGCAGGGGGGGCUCACAGCAGGUUCCCCGCGCUCCCACGCCCUCCCCA